UUAUGUAUAAAACCCUGUUUGGUUUGUUCUUAUUUGUAUUUACGAGAAACCAAGUUAGAAGAACCAUGUUGACAGCUAUAAUCUUCGGGGUAGUCCUAUGUGUCACAGUAUCUACUGGUGCUGAUGUAGUUGUAUUGACUACGGAGAACAGGCAACAAGAAGUAACAGAGUUUGAUCUUGCUAACCCAUCACACAAGAAUCGCGUUCACCAACACCGUAAAAACCCAAGUGGAAUUAGCUAUGAUCCGGUAGAAGAGAAGAUGUAUUGGGCUGAACCAGGAGCCAAGGCUAUCUACAGUUCUAAAGUUGAUGGGUCUCAACAACAAAUGGUACAUUCAAAUGUGAAUGUGUAUGACGUAACAGUAAAUAUAGAAGGACGUGAAGUAAUAUAUACAGAUUCUAGAACUAUAUCUAGAAUAUCUAUCAAUGAUCAUCAUGUAUCUACAGUUGUAUCACAUGCUACUGGUGCUAUAGAUAUAGAGUAUGAUCCUAUUGACAAACACAUAUAUUGGUCUAAUUUCUUAGGGAAUGUAAUAGAGAAAUGUACAUACCCUGCUGGUCAGUGUUCAACAUUAGUAAAAACAUCAUUUCCUCUGAAUAUGGCCAUAGACCCCAAGGGCAAGCGACUGUAUUGGGUAUCAGGAAACCAUGAACAAGUAGAAAGUAUUGGUUUAGAUGGUCAUAAUCAACGUACAGAAAUGAGCUCUAAUGAUGAUAUGUAUACAGCAUUAGAUUUCUAUGAUGGAAACCUUUAUGUUGGUGUUCAUAAUUCCAAACAAGCUAAGAUUAAUAAAUAUGAUGUUAAAUCACGACACACAACAACAAUAACUACAGAAGACUAUAGAUCAUAUUAUGAUAUUGCUGUCAGUCCUAAACAAGGAUCGGGACAUAUUAUUGGUUAACAAUGGGACUUAUUGGUAUUUAUGGAAUUUGGUGAAUAAAUAAUAUAGGGUCUAAUGUAUUCUCUUAGUUGAUAUUUUGUUU